rnacentral:rRNA from 1 species
AAUCAAGUUACAAAGGGCACAGAGUGAAUGCCUUGGUGCUAGAAGGCGAUGAAGGACGUGAUAAGCUGCGAUAAGCGCCGGUUAGGGGCACACACCCGCUGACCCGGCGAUUUCCGAAUGGGGUAACCUGAUGGGAUUGAAUCCCAUCGCCCCUUUCCGAAGUUCAUUGGAAACAAUGAUAUUAGGAAAGGGAUCGCGAACCCGCUGAAGUGAAACAUCUCAGUAAGCGGAGGAAAAGAAAUCAACCGAGAUUCCGUAAGUAGCGGCGAGCGAACGCGGACCAGCCCAACCAUUAACGGACCGGCGAAGAUAGGAGAAGCAUUUGGAAAGAUGCUCCAAAGAGGGUGAAAGACCCGUAUCCGAAAUCCGAACCGGCCAGGUGCAAGUAGCGCAACACACGUGAAACGUUGCGUGAAGACGGGGGGACCACCCUCCAAGGCUAAAUACUAACUAGCGACCGAUAGUGAACCAGUACCGUGAGGGAAAGGUGAAAAGAACCCCUGCGAGGGGAGUGAAAUAGAACCUGCAACCCUGUGCCCACAAGGUGUCAGAGCUCUUCGGAGUGAUGGCGUGCCUUUUGCUUAAUGAGUCUGCGAGUCAGUGCGUGUGGCCAGCCUAAGUUCUUCUGGAACGGAGGCGUAGCGAAAGCAAGUCUGAAUAGGGCGACAAGUUGCACGCGCUGGACCCGAAGCGGAGGUGACCUACCCAUGGCCAGGUUGAAGCGUGAGUAAAAUCACGUGGAGGACCGAACCGAUGUGUGUUGAAAAACGCUCGGAUGAGCUGUGGGUAGGAGUGAAAGGCUAUUCAAACCCCGUGAUAGCUGGUUCUCUCCGAAAUGUAUUUAGGUACAGCGUUGUAUGCUGACUGAGGGGGGUAGAGCACUGAAAGGGCUAGGGCCCAUACCCGGGUACCAACCCCUAUCAAACUCCGAAUACCCUCAGGUGUAAUACAGCAGUGAGUCAGUGGGGGAUAAGCUCCAUUGGCGAAAGGGAAACAGCCCAGACCAGCAGCUAAGGUGCCUAAAUUCUACUCAGUGGAAAGGAGGUGAGGUUUCACAGACAGUGAGGAUGUUGGCUUAGAAGCAGCCACCAUUUAAAAAGUGCGUAAUAGCUUACUCAUCGAGAGACCUUGCGCCUAAAAUGAUUGGCGAUAAGUAGAAUACCGAAGCUCUGGACUCCGUAAGGAGUGGUAGGAGAGCGUUCCCAACGCAGUGAAGGGUGAUGGCGACUGACCCUGGAGCGUUGGGAAGUGAGAAUGCAGACAUGAGUAACGAUAAGAGCGGUGAAAUCCCGCUCCGCCGUAAACCCAAGGUUUCCCGGGCAACGUUUUUCGUCCCGGGGUUAGUCGGGACCUAACCCGAGGCCGAUAGGCGUAGGGGAUGGCAAGCCGGUUAAUAUUCCGGCACCCAGUCAGGAGGACGCUUGAGUCAAGGAUACCAGGUUAUUGAAUUCCGAGGUGCGGCUACGGCCAAUCCGUAUAUCCGGCGCUUGAGCCAAGAAAAGCCCUGACACUAAUGGCCCGUACCGCAAACCGACACAGGUGGGUGGGUAGAGUAUACCAAGGCGCAAGAGUGAAACCUGGUUAAGGAACUCGGCAAAAUGGCUCCGUAACUUCGGGAGAAGGAGUGCCCCUUUUAUGGGGGCCGCAGUGAAAUGGCCCAACCGACUGUUUAGCAAAAACACAGCAUUCUGCUAAGGCGCAAGCCGAUGUAUAGGAUGUGACACGUGACCAAUGCCAAAAGAUUACGGUAAGGUGUUAGCCCUCGGGCGAAGCUCCGAACCCAAGUCCUGGUGAAUGUCGGCCGUAACUAUAACGGUCCUAAGGUAGCGAAAUUCCUUGUCGGGUAAGUUCCGACCUGCACGAAUCGUGCAACGAGUUGGGCACUGUCUCAACCAGGAGCUCAGUGAAAUUGUAACGCCGGUGAAGAUGCCGGCUACUCGCAGAAGGACGGAAAGACCCUAUAGACCUUAACUGUACGCUGUUACUGUUUUUUCGACCUCAAUGCUCAGCAUAAGUGGGAGACUUCGAAGCCAUCCUUUAGGGGACGGUGGAGUCACCAGUGAGAUACCACCCUUUGAUGUUGGAAAUUCUAACCCCAUGCCGUCAUCCGGCUGGGGGACCGUGGCAGCCGGUCAGUUUUACUGGGGCGGUAUCCUCCCAAAGAGUAACGGAGGAGCGCGAAGGUGGGCUCAGCACGGUCGGCAACCGUGUUUCGAGUGUAAAGGCACAAGCCCGCCUAACUGUGAGACCGACAAGUCGAGCAGAUACGAAAGUAGGCCUUAGUGAUCCGGCGGUUGAAUGUGGAAUUGCCGUCGCUCAACGGAUAAAAGGUACCUUAGGGAUAACAGGCUGAUCACGCCCAAGAGUUCAUAUCGACGGCGUGGUUUGGCACCUCGAUGUCGGCUCGUCGCAUCCUGGGGCUGGAGAAGGUCCCAAGGGUCCGGCUGUUCGCCGGUUAAAGCGGCACGCGAGCUGGGUUCAGAACGUCGCGAGACAGUUCGGUCCUCUAUCCUCUGUGAGCGCAGGAAGAUUGCGCGGUUCGUUUCCUAGUACGAGAGGACCGGAAACGACGCACCUCUGGUGUAUCUGUUGUUCUGUCAAGGGCAUUGCAGAGUAGCUACGUGCGGAACGGAUAAGCGCUGAAAGCAUCUAAGCGCCAAGCCAUUCGCAAGAUAAAUCUUCCCUUAAGGAUCGUGGGAGACGACCACGUUGAUAGGCUGUCGGUCGAAGUGUGGCAACACAUGUAGCCAAGCAGUACUAAUCAUCCGAUCGACUUGAUUUC